AUUUAUGGGUUGUUAUUUAUUAUUCGAUUUUUGAUAAACGAAACUAAUCCAAGCCCGACAAGUAGAAUUCCAUUCGGUACCUUUGGGGUUUUCUUUUUCCUUCUGGAUGACGACGUCACCGCGUCUCCUUAUUGUUAUUGCGAUGGUGACGAGGAACAAAGGGCCGGGGAGAUCAUCGAAAUUACCUCUAGCCCGAAGCCAGAGGGGGUCAUCGACACAACGCCAACCCUGGUGGUGGGGCACUUCGAAGGUCUGGAGACCCUCCUUGAGAUUCCCCCUUUACC
rnacentral:lncRNA from 1 species